GCAGACGCAUUUCGUGUUUGUAUCGACAUUUUGGCGGUGAAUCGGUUCCUGCUUAAGGAAAAAGCAAUAUAAGGCCCAGUAGCCCAUAUUUUUCGUAGUCAUGCUGGCAACAUAGACAACAGUCUAGCCAACCGUGUCACGGAGUCAUCGUAGGUGGUAUCUGGUGGUAUACAUCGUUAGCCUGCCGGGACAACGUGGGACAAAUCAAAAACACACACA